rnacentral:rRNA from 1 species
GACGAACGCUGGCGGCGUGCCUAAUACUUGCAAGUAGGACGCAGUUGCGAACGGGUGAGUAACGCGUAGGUAACUACCUAUUAGGGGGGGAUAACAAUUGGAAACGAUAGCUAAUACCGCAUACUAGUAGAGGGACCUGCGUUGUAUUAGCUAGUAGGUGGGGUAAUGGCCUACCUAGGCAACGAUACAUAGCCGACCUGAGAGGUUUGUCGGGCACACUGGGAAUGAGGCAACUACCAGACUCCUACGGGAGGCAGCAGUAGGGAAUCUGCGGGAAUUGGGGGAACCCUGACCGGGCAACUGCGCGGGAGUGAAGAAGGUUUUCGAAUCGUACAGCUCUGUUGUUAAUGAAGCGGUACUUAACCAAAAAGGGACGGCUAACUACGUGCCAGCAGCCGCGGUAAUAC